rnacentral:lncRNA from 1 species
GAAAUAAGUGCAUUGUGUAACAGUAAAUCUACACCAAGCUCUGAAGUAGAAAAUAAAAUUAUUUAGAUUUCUGUUUUAGAAGAAAUGCUUCUUUGGGCAUGCACCAGAACCCACCGGAGAAUCUAGUUGUGCCUCUGCUUGAUCAGCAGCCCAGAGAGAGUACGAAUGCGAUCCAGAUGGUGCAGCUCACAUCCACCAUGGGGACUCAAACCCAGAGAGAAGACAAUGGACCUGAGUAUGGAUUGUUCGCCUUUAGAACGGGUCAUCAUGAAGUCCACUGCCCACUGUUUCUUGUCGGUGGCUCGGUUUCUUUCUGCUUCUCUGUUACUUCAUUCCCUGUGGCAGAGAACCAAGUGCAUGCUUUCAACAUCCAACUAUUUUCUGGACACCCCAGGAGAUGUGAAAUGUGUGUCACAGCCACCAAAACAUUAUGUAUCCACCAUGGAAUCUGCUUUAUUUGAACAUCUGAUUUUUGUUUUUCAGAGUGUUAAAAUUAUGCCUACUUUCUCCUCAGACUAAGACAGAAUGAGUGGUUCUUCUGAAUCUCUUAUUCUAACAUGGAAUCUCCCCAACUUCACUUCCCUGGACAAAGUGCACUUCUAGAUUUAAACAUGAUGCUGCCCCUUUGCCUAAGUGACCUGAGUGGAGCCUACAUAUCAUUAGGCAGCCCUGGAUGCAUCCUCGGAAAGUUUUUCCCUGAUAGAAAGAGCCCAUGCUGACUGUUUACUCUGCACCAUACCUCUCUCAGGAACGAUGCCUUACUCAGAAUUUUCUGAUAAGCUAAUGUGGGUAGCAACAAUAAUAAGCCCUUGGGGGAUUUAUAUCACCUGAUUUAUAUCUUGAAAUUCUCUGACACCAUCCACUCAUAAGAAUAACAAGUCAAUUCUGGCUCCAUGUUCUUCCAUCCCCAUUGGAAUAGUCUAAUUUCCAGGUGCGUUUGUCAAACAUUAGUUUUGCUGAAAGGCACAUACCAUACUGAUUCAAGACUUGGCUGUUGGUUUAAGUGCUCACUGGAUGAUUAGAGUCAAUAUGACAUAAUGGUAAAUGUUAAGAUUUAUGGAAGGUGUGUAAAAGUCCAGUGCAUGGCCUUCUACAGGAUCUUCAUGAUUUUUCUCCUCCAGCCUAUCCUUUACAUGAUGCCUUCCCACCUCGGCUUCCCCUAUUAACUUUCUAUUUCAAUUUUUAUUCUAAAAUUGCCACAUAUUAACUGGACAUGAAAUGCAUUUGUGACUCUCAUGGCUGUCUGUCAGUGAACCCUGGAUGUGGGUCUGCUCUGAUCGGUCUCUGUAGAGUUGGGGUCUGACCCGAUCACAGCAAAUGUGCUUUCCAGGAGUGAAAGAUGGUUGCUUGGUGACUGACGAUCAGUUUGCACCAUGAAGCUUUUCCUAAGGAUUCCAAGAACGUCUGCCAGGCAAAAAAUGUCUGCCUUAUUCUCCACAAACCACGAAUAAUGACCAGUUCAUUUGUCUUCAGAGGUCUAGCAGGUGUUUUUCAUUGUAAACCCUUGUAGUUCCCAAGAAGACAUUAAAUAUUUCCCG